rnacentral:rRNA from 1 species
AUUGAACGCUGGCGGCAGGCCUAACACAUGCAAGUCGAGCGGCAGCGGGAAAGUAGCUUGCUACUUUUGCCGGCGAGCGGCGGACGGGUGAGUAAUGCCUGGGGAUCUGCCCAGUCGAGGGGGAUAACUACUGGAAACGGUAGCUAAUACCGCAUACGCCCUACGGGGGAAAGCAGGGGACCUUCGGGCCUUGCGCGAUCGGAUGAACCCAGGUGGGAUUAGCUAGUUGGUGAGGUAAUGGCUCACCAAGGCGACGAUCCCUAGCUGGGCUGAGAGGAUGAUCAGCCACACUGGAACUGAGACACGGUCCAGACUCCUACGGGAGGCAGCAGUGGGGAAUAUUGCACAAUGGGGGAAACCCUGAUGCAGCCAUGCCGCGUGUGUGAAGAAGGCCUUCGGGUUGUAAAGCACUUUCAGCGAGGAGGAAAGGUUGGUAGCUAAUAACUGCCAGCUGUGACGUUACUCGCAGAAGAAGCACCGGCUAACUCCGUGCCAGCAGCCGCGGUAACAC